GGGUCCAGCCUGGAAAGGCUGGAGGUAUUGGAAUGGUCGGGCCGCCAUUC
rnacentral:ncRNA from 12 species